rnacentral:tRNA from 1 species
AGCUUAAUAGGUUAUAUGUAUUUGACUAUCAAUUUUCAAAAAUGGGGGGGGGUGUAGGUGCCUUAGGCUG